UCUCUAAUAAGGUUACUGGGUC
rnacentral:misc_RNA from 1 species